rnacentral:rRNA from 1 species
UAUUAAUAUAAUAAAUUUUUUUAUUUGAAAAAAAAAAGUAUAAUAAAUAAAAUUUUACAAUAAUUUUAAGUUUAAUUAAUUAAUUAUGAAAUAAUUUUAAAAUUUAUAAUAAUAGUAAUGUAAAUGAAUUUUUUAAAAUAUAAAUAAGUAAAAUAUUAAUUUGUACCUUUUGUAUCAGGGUUGAUUAAAAAUAAUUUAAAAAUUUAAUUAUCUCGAAAAUAAGAGAGCUAAAUUUAUAUUAUUUUUUUUGUAGAAAUAAAAUUAUAAAUAUAAAUUUAGAAAUUAAAUGUUAAACGAACUUAUUAAUAUCUAGUUUUUUUAGAAAUAAAUUUAAUUUAGAUAUAAAAUUUUUAAUAAAUUAAAUUUUAUUUUAAUUUAUUAAAUUUUAUAUUAAAAAUUUAUGGGAUAAACUAUAAAUUUAUUAAUAAAAAUUUAUAAUUUAUAAUUUUAAUAUUAUGGAUAUAAUAUUUUUUUUUAAUUUAAAAAAUUUAAUAAUUUAAUUUUUAAUUAAAAAGAUUUAAAUUUAAAUUUUAUUUUUUUUAUAAAAAUAUAUAUUAAAAUUUUUAAAAUAUAGAAAUAAUGAUUAAAUUAGUAAUAAAAAUUAUUUUAAAAUAUAAUAAUAAUAGUAUAUAAUUUAAAGGAACUCGGCAAAUAUAUUAUUCACCUGUUUAACAAAAACAUGUCUUAUUGAAUAUAAUUUUAAGUCGAUCUGCUCCAUGAAUUAAUUUUAAAUAGCUGCAGUAUUUUGACUGUACAAAGGUAGCAUAAUAAAUUGUCUUUUAAUUGAAGAAUUGAAUGAACGAAUUGAUGAAAUAAUUACUGUCUCUAAAUUAUAAAAUGAACUUAAAUUUUUAGUUAAAAUUCUAAAAUUUAAUUAUGGGACGAUAAGACCCUAUAGAAUUUUAUUUAAAUUAUUAUUUAAUUUAAAUUUUAUUUUUAAAUAAAAUAAUAAAUUUAAAUUUGAUUGGGAGGAUUAAUAAAUUUAAUAAACUUUAUUUUUAAAUAUAAUUUUGAUUAAAAGAUUUAAUAUUGAUCUAUAAUUUAUAAUUAAAAGAAUAAAUUACCUUAGGGAUAACAGCGUAAUAUCUUUUGAUAGACCUUAUUGAUAAAGAUGAUUGCGACCUCGAUGUUGAAUUAAGAUAAAAAUUAAAUGCAGGAGUUUAAUUAUUUAAGUCUGUUCGACUUUUAAAAUCUUACAUGAUUUGAGUUCAAAUCGACGUAAGUCAGAUUGGUUUCUAUCUAUAAUAAAAAAUAAAUUAAUUGUACGAAAGGACCUUAAUUUUUAAAUAAUUUAUAUAAUUUUAAAGUAAUAAUAAAUAAUUAA